GGGUGACAAAUGAUGUGGUAUUGAAGGUGUAUCAUGAUUAUUGGUAGAAUGAGAAGAAGAAGUGUGGAGAGAAUUAGGAGGUAACCGGACAGUGGCCGACGCAGACGAAGAAGAAGGAGAUUGAGUUGCUGGGAUAUGGAUUGGAAGAGGACAGAUUGGAAAGUCCGGAACUAACAAAGGUGUAGGUAACACUGGUGGACUUGGAGAGGAAGAGGUUACCUGAGAAAAAGGAAAAAUGUGCUCAUCAAACUGGACGUGCCUGGAUAUGAAAACACGACCUGUUGC
rnacentral:lncRNA from 1 species